CAUGGAGUCAGCGCGGGGAAGUGAGAACACUGUGGACAACAGCUCCAGCUCUGCCCCAGGUCUGGCUCUAUUGUUUGCCAGCAACAAGACUUCAGGGAGGCGCCACGGUAUCCCCAUGUGUCAGUCAGCAUGAGGAAAAACGAAAAGUUCACAGCUCCUAUGGCUGCUGACCUUGCAGCUCCACGAACGCUGCUUCCACCAGGACUGUCACUAUGGUGCCAGGCCAGGGACCUGUGGCAGAGUGCAAGCAGCCUUGUACGGGGGAGGGACGCACCAGAAAACCUGGGCUUUUGCUUUGGUUCAGCCACUACUCCGCUCCCCGUACACAAAUUCUGCUCCACACUGGGCCUCAAUUUCCUGAUCUGCGCACUCAAGAGCUGGGCUAGAUUAGUGUAAUCUUCAGACUUGAAAGUCAUCACCACCACCAACAAUGACUGUUUUUUCUCAAUGAAUUAUCAAGGAAUACAUAGAAAACAUAAAAGCAGAGUUAUUUUGGCUGAAGUGGAGAAUAAGGUGCCCAAAACAUCUUAUCUACUGUAGAUCACCUCCAAGGUCUUUUCAAGAUGGAAAUUUCUAGGAUUUCUACGAUUUUAAA
rnacentral:lncRNA from 1 species